AGAGUUCGAUUCUGGCUCAGGACGAACGCUGGCGGCGUGCCUAACACAUGCAAGUCGAACGGAGUUGAAAGGAGCUUGCUUUUUUCAACUCAGUGGCGGACGGGUGAGUAACGCGUGAGUAACCUGCCUUUCAGAGGGGGAUAACGUUCUGAAAAGAACGCUAAUACCGCAUAAGAUUGUAGUUUCGCAUGGAGCAGCAAUCAAAGGAGCAAUCCGCUGAAAGAUGGACUCGCGUCCGAUUAGAUAGUUGGCGGGGUAACGGCCCACCAAGUCGACGAUCGGUAGCCGGACUGAGAGGUUGAUCGGCCACAUUGGGACUGAGACACGGCCCAG
rnacentral:rRNA from 1 species